UGCUCAUCAAAACAUAGGGAAAUUUGAACCUAGAUCUCUCAAGUGUGUGUUUUUGGGCUAUGCUGAGAAUGUUAAAGGGUAUAGGCUGUGGAUCUAUGGGGAAAAAUGUUACAGGAUUAUCAUAAGAAGGGAUGUGGUCUUUAAUGAAUCAUAUAUGCCAUGUUUGGAAGGAAAAACGGGAAAUUUGAAUGAAAAUGAUGUCUAAAUUGAGGUGGAGCCUGUUAAAAUUGAUAAUACCAAUUAUAUCCCCUUAGAAGUAGCAAUUAUUAAGGUUGACCGAAUGAAAAUGAGCUUGAUUUGGUAGAACCUGAUCAAUGUGAUAACUUAGAUACAUCGCUAGAUGAGUACCAGCUCACUAGAGACAUGGAUAGGAGGCAAAUUAGAAAUAGUGAUGGCUUUGUGUCUUUAUUCACUGACCAAGAAGAAACUAAUUCUGAACCUAGUUUCUAUCAUGAAACUUUAAAGUCUUAAGAUUGUAAAAAGUGGUUGGCUACAAUGGAAGAACAAAUGUCUUCCCUAUACAAAAAUAAAUCUUGGGAAUUGGUAGAUAAACCUAACGAUCAAAAGCUAGUUGAUUGAAAGUGGAUUUAUAAACUAAAGGAAGGGGAAGGGGACACUAAUAAG
rnacentral:lncRNA from 1 species